rnacentral:rRNA from 1 species
ACUCCUACGGGAGGCAGCAGUAAAGAAUAUUGCGCAAUGGGGGAAACCCUGACGCAGCCAUGCCGCGUGUGUGAUGAAGGCCCUCGGGUCGUAAAGCACUGUCGGGAGGGACGAAGAUCUGACGGUACCUCGCAAGAAAGCACCGGCUAACUCCGUGCCAGCAGCCGCGGUAAUACGGAGGGUGCAAGCGUUGCUCGGAAUCACUGGGCGUAAAGCGACCGCAGGCGGCUUGUCAAGUCCGAUGUGAAAGCCCAGGGCUCAACCCUGGAAGUGCAUCGGAAACUGACUCGCUUGAGUACGAGAGAGGAAAGCAGAAUUCCUGGUGUAGAGGUGAAAUUCGUAGAUAUCAGGAGGAAUACCCGCGGCGAAGGCGGCUUUCUGGCUCGAUACUGACGCUCAUGGUCGAAAGCNGUGGGGAGCAAACAGGAUUAGAUACCCUGGUAGUC